rnacentral:rRNA from 1 species
GAGGUCCAGCCUGCCCAGUGACUAUUAGUUUAACGGCCGCGGUAUUCUGACCGUGCAAAGGUAGCGUAAUCAUUCGUCCUUUAAAUGGGGUCAAGUAUGAAGGGCUAGACGAGGGCUUAGCUGUCUCCCCUUCCCAGUCAGUGAAAUUGAUCUAUCCGUGCAGAAGCGGGUGUAAAGAUACAAGACGAGAAGACCCUUUGGAGCUUUAGGUACAAGACUUAACCACAUUGAACAAGCCAAUAAGUAACACAAAUUCUAUGGAUAUUAAGACUUUACCUUCGGUUGGGGCGACCACGGAGUAAAAUGAAACCUCCAAGUGGACUGGGGAGACCCCUAGACCCAAGAGAUACACCUCUAAGUCACAGAAAUUCUGACCAAAAAUGAUCCGGCAUCUGACCGAUCAGCGAACCAAGUUACCCUAGGGAUAACAGCGCAAUCCUCUCCCAGAGCCCAUAUCGACGAGGGGGUUUACGACCUCGAUGUUGGAUCAGGACAUCCUAAUGGUGCAGCCGCUAUUAAGGGUUCGUUUGUUCAACGAUAAAAGUCCUACGUGAUCUGAGUUCAGACCGG